rnacentral:rRNA from 1 species
CCUGGCUCAGAACGAACGCUGGCGGCGCGCCUAAUACAUGCAAGUCGAGCGAGAAGGUGUAGCAAUACACUUGUAAAGCGGCGAACGGGUGAGGAAUACAUGGGUAAUCUACCAUCGAGUGGGGAAUAACCAGCCGAAAGGUUGGCUAAUACCGCGUACGCUUCCGAGUCUUCGGGCUUGGAAGGAAAGCCGCACUGUGAGUGCGGCGCUCUUUGAUGAGCUCAUGUCCUAUCAGCUUGUUGGUAGGGUAACGGCCUACCAAGGCUUUGACGGGUAGCUGGUCUGAGAGGACGAUCAGCCACACUGGCACUGCGACACGGGCCAGACUCCUACGGGAGGCAGCAGUAAGGAAUAUUGCGCAAUGGGCGAAAGCCUGACGCAGCGACGCCGCGUGGGGGAUGAAGGUCUUCGGAUUGUAAACCCCUUUCGGGAGGGAAGAUGGAGCGAGCAAUCGUUCGGACGGUACCUCCAGAAGCAGCCACGGCCAACUUCGUG